CGUUUAUCAUUACGAUAGGUGUUAAGUGGAAGUGCAGUGAUGUAUGCAGCUGAGGCAUCCUAACAGACCGUUAGACUUGAAC
rnacentral:rRNA from 1 species